UACGUAGGUGGCAAGCGUUGUCCGGAAUUAUUGGGCGUAAAGCGCGCGCAGGCGGUCCUUUAAGUCUGAUGUGAAAGCCCACGGCUCAACCGUGGAGGGUCAUUGGAAACUGGGGGACUUGAGUGCAGGAGAGAAGAGUGGAAUUCCACGUGUAGCGGUGAAAUGCGUAGAGAUGUGGAGGAACACCAGUGGCGAAGGCGACUCUUUGGCCUGUGAACUGACGCUGAGGCGCGAAAGCGUGGGGAGCAAACAGG
rnacentral:rRNA from 1 species